rnacentral:lncRNA from 1 species
AUGCACAAAGCUAUUGUUUUCUUUGCAUGUGUCAAUACAACUACCUAAUAAUUAAAUAAUUUAAUUGUAAUCGUUUUCAAAAGUUUGAAUAGUACGUUUGAAUUCGCGCCGCGCGAUACGUGCACUAUAUAUGUGAUUUUCCGUUGUCUCUGUCAUUGUACUAUAGUUAAUUAAGCGGGAAACGCAACAAAGUAUAUUACUUUUUGCUUUGAUGAUUUCCCUCGUUAACAGCAAAAAACUUCGUUCGCUGAAUAAUCGUUGAAUAUCAACAAUUGUUUCUGCAAACUUGGAUAAUCACUUGUGUUAUUGCUUAAUCAACUCAAUUAGACCCGGAUAGUCGAAGAAUCUUGCCGCAUUUCCUGAGGAAGCUGUUGAUCGUCGACCCUCGCUUGCGUCCAUCUCCAGCUAGAGAGGGGCUGCUCAACAGGUCCUGGAAGCCUCGUCUUCUUCGACUGCACCUGAUGGACAUUGAGUUUGUCAGGCAGCUUACACAUACAUAUAUUUUCUGUUUCAUACACUCCAUCCUGCAACUUGAUUACUUUUCUUUCAUUAUUUCUCAUUACAACAAUAGUUCAUAUAGACUUUACUCAUUCUUUCUUAUACUUUCUAUUUUCGAGCCUAAUAUUGUCAACCACACCAUCGUCUGGAUCAUCUACCACACCACAGCACCUGCGGUUCCUAGAAUAUUAUAUAAAGUUAGCUGAAAAAAAAACACAGACAACAACAGCCACUCAGCGGAAGAUAAGAAUUGCAGCUUGCUUCUGAGGUACUUCGACAGGUUCAGCUCACCGUACUCACCAAUAUAGUUGGAAUUGCAAAAACACCAUCAGAAGCGCAGCCAGGAAUAUGCGACAAAAUUAGGAUUAUCUUUAUAGAUAAGUAUAUUAUCUAGCGUUUAUAAUUUAUUCAAUUACAAAUUUAAAUCUGUUUUAUAUUUAUUUGCAGCGGUAGCAGCAAAGUCAACAAUAAUAACAAGGAAGUGUGCCGAUUGUUCUCCUCGCCUCCAGGAGUCGUCCAAUUUUCAACUGCUUUAUUAUUAUUUAAUAUUGUUCGUUUAUUAAUAUUAUUAUUAUUCUUGUUAUCAUUAUAUUAGAUUGAUCAAAGCUCAAAAAUUGUUAUGUAUAUUUUAUUCGAUAUCAUUGUUAUAUUUUUAUAUUUGUACUGCGCUAUAGUUUUAUUGUUUCAAUUGUAUUUAUUUAUUUAUAUUAAUGUUUUAAUAAAUCAUACAUAUUAAUUACCUACAAUCCUCAUCUGUCUCGAUCAUUUAUUUGCGAGGCUUGGCCUCCAGUAAAUGCGAGCACGCAUUUCCGGAUUUUCCGGAAAAGUGCUCGCAUUAUGCCCGCACGAACCCCUGCAUAUGCCUGCAUACGAGGAGCAUGCCGUGCCGUGCGAAAAAUACGCGUCCACGAAAUCGGGAACAUGCGCGCAAAAUGCCUGCAUACGAACGGCAUUAUGCUCGCAUUUUAUCGGUACCCGUGCUGGACAGAUCCACCACGGAAGCAAGCAAAAUGCUCGGUCAUAUGCUCGUCAUAUGUCUUUCAUGUGCGGAUGCAAGUGGACCGUCAUGCGUGCCCAUUUCGUGCCGGCACGUUUUCAGCAUUUUCAGAGCACCCCCAAUAACAUCACGUGCUGGGCAUUUUUGGGGCAUGCGUGCUCGUCACGCGUGCUGUCGAUGUGCAGGCAAUGUGCCGACAUGCGUGGACAAAAAUCUUUAAAAUUUUUUUCCCGCCACGCUGGACGGCACGUUGGCGGCAUAGUGCGAGCACGCGUGCUCAGCACGAGUGCUGUCAAUAUGACGACACGAAAUGUUGGCACAUUGGCGACACAAAAUGCCGAUCCAUGGCCGAUUUUUCGAACGUUUGCAUGCCGGCAAUGUGCCAGCAUUAUGACAGCACCGCGCGCUGCAUGCGUUGAGCAAUUCGUGAGCAUGCGUGCCUCGACACGCGUGCUCGCACAGUGCUGUCAUUUUGAUGGAUUACCGUGCUCCGCGCGAAAAUUUGAACCAACACGCGAGACAGCACGUUGGCGGCACGCGCGUGCUGCAUGAUUUCGGCACUCGUGCCCGCUUUUCGAUGGCAUUCCAGGAGCACGCGUGCAGACACUUGAAGAAGCUAGGUGCUGGCAUGCGUGCUGCAUGCGUGCGGCACAGGUGCAUCAUAUACGGGGCAUUUGGACGACACGCGUGCGCAUCUUUUAAAAUUCGGCUAAGUCCUGAGACCGAUAAUUGUCUAUGGAAAAAACAGCUUCAGGGCGCUGUGUACUAUCAAAAUGAUUUAAUUACGAGUUGUACCCUAUGAUAGAUGAUUGCUCAAACGUACAUCAGUUUAAAAAUUACUAUUUUCACAAUUAAAAUUUGAUUAAUGUAACACAUCCUCUUGACGUGCCGCACGUCGUGCUGUCACUGUGCCGUCCAGUUGCUGUCUCGACAUGCGUCCUAGGGCGUCUGUACGCGACGGCACAGAGACUGCACAGCGACAGCACGCGUGCCGCGUGCUCAGAAUGUUGCAUUAUUAAUAAUUAUGGACUUUAAUUAGUAAAGAGCAUACAUUUA